CCAGUUUGAUAGAUCAUAUUUCAAAACCACCUCGUGCAAGUUUUCGAAGCAAUGGAGUGAUAACAUGGACGACGAUAUUGACCAUGGCAAAGAAGAUGAAGAUAAGUAAAUAUAUAAGGAUGGACAGAGAGAUCAUUGAAUUUUCUCCUUUGUAUUCCACUGUUAGUGAUAAAAAACUUAAUACUAUUCUUUUUUUUUAA